rnacentral:rRNA from 1 species
CUACGGGGUGCUGCAGUGGGGAAUAUUGGACAAUGGGGGAAACCCUGAUCCAGCAAUGCCGCGUGUGUGAAGAAGGCCUGCGGGUUGUAAAGCACUUUCGGUUGGGAGGACUGCUUCUAGCACUAAUAUUGUUGGAAGUUGACGUUACCUUCAGAAGAAGCACCGGCUAACUCCGUGCCAGCAGCCGCGGUAAUACGGAGGGUGCAAGCGUUUAUCGGAAUUACUGGGCGUAAAGCGCGCGUAGGCGGCUAGAUCAGUUGGGUGUGAAAGCCCCGGGCUUAACCUGGGAACUGCAUCCGAUACUGUCUAGCUUGAGUACAGGAGAGGAGAGUGGAAUUCCACAUGUAGCGGUGAAAUGCGUAGAUAUGUGGAGGAACACCAAUGGCGAAGGCAGCUCUCUGGCCUGAUACUGACGCUGAGGUGCGAAAGCGUGGGGAGCAAACAGGAUUAGAUACCCGGGUAGUC